AAACCUCCAUUGAGUGCAGUCAUCAAGGUUGCAGAUUGUUUUCUCGACUCAGAGAGAGAGAGAGCGAGAGAGAGCGAAGAAUCAAAUCGUAGCUUUCGGACAAACUUUUCACUCUUAAUUUCGUAACUCAGGCGAGUAGCUAGCAGAAAGAAGAACAAGAAUGAACGAGCUUGAAAAAAUUCAUGGUACGUAACUCGGAGAAAAAGAAGAGGGGACGGGAAGCUGCUACGUACGGUUUCGUUUUGAUUCUGCGAUGUCGUUCUUUCUUUACUCCGCUGAAAGAAAGUGAGAUAGAGAGAAAGCUGUUUCUGGUCCUGGGAUAACAGAUAUUCGUUUUGCUCAGGGGAGGAUGAGUGCAGUAUCGAAACAAAUUGACUGAGCUUUUUUGGGUGAUACUUGAUUUGUAUGAGAUGGCUAUGGUUCAGGGGCUUGGUUGUCUACCUUGAUUGUCUUUCUCACAGCCAGAAAAAGAGAGGAAUACCUUGGGUUGGUGGAAGGGUUGCCAACAUAAGUGCAGGAAGAAUUGCUGGACAACAGUCUCCGGGAAGGAUGAGCUUUGUAAUGGCAGUGACAUUGAUAAGCACACCUACUAGCAUGAGCAGAAAGCAAUCCUAUGGAGAAGGAUGGCUCGAUGGUGAAUGCUACUGGGUUAAAUACUUCAAAUACAGUAUUUACAAUAUGAAUUGCAUUGGGCGAGGUUUUUCAAGUAGACCGACCUGAUGCAUUGAAACUACUGGGAUCUGAAAGAUAGAUCAUUCAAAUCUCUCAAAGACGGAAGAGGGUCAGUUUGUUUGUGCUCAAAAGAAGGAACUUUUUGUGGUUCAAGGAAUUAGGAUUUUGGGGUGACAUGGUACAGAAGCUGAUAUAUCAGAUAUACAAGAACCCUCAUCCAAAUAUUGUUGUUUUAACAGUUGGAGCAGAUUUGGUUGGAUGGAGCUGUCAACUAGAACAAAAGAAGGCAGUUUUGGAAGUAGUUUGGAGGGAAACAAAAGAUGAGGAAAGAUGAUGACUACAGUUGGAAUCACCGGGUAGAAAGUUACAAGUUCAUUUGGUUGCAAAUGAAUAUGAGAUUAACAGGUAUAAGCAUAGAAAGCCAAAUUCAUCAAAUGGUAGAACAAAGAUCAGGCAAUUGGGUUAUGGAAUGGGAGGUUGAAGACGGUCAAAAUCAGAUUGGAGGUACAAGAGAUAUAUUUCUCAAUUUGUAUCAGAUCUUUUGUAAUAGCAAGAAACUACCAUGCUUUAUUAAUUGAAUUGUAUAGGAUUAAAAGAUCCUAUCCUUGGGUUAAUAAUAUUUUCUUGAUCUUCUAAACUUCUUCAUUUCAA